GACGAACGCUGGCGGCGUGCUUAACACAUGCAAGUCGAACGGUGAAGGGACCAGCUUGCUGGUUCUGGAUGAGUGGCGAACGGGUGAGUAACACGUGAGUAACCUGCCCCCUUCUUCUGGAUAACCGCAUGAAAGUGUGGCUAAUACGGGAUAUUCUGGGUCUGUCGCAUGGCGGGCCCGGGAAAGAUAUUGCUUCGGUGGGGGAUGGGCUCGCGGCCUAUCAGCUUGUUGGUGGGGUGAUGGCCUACCAAGGCGGUGACAGGUAGCCGGCCUGAGAGGGUGGACGGUCACACUGGGACUGAGACACGGCCCAGACUCCUACGGGAGGCAGCAGUGGGGAAUAUUGCACAAUGGGCGCAAGCCUGAUGCAGCGACGCCGCGUGAGGGAUGGAGGCCUUCGGGUUGUAAACCUCUUUCGCCAGUGAAGCAGGCCUGCUCCGUGUGGGUGGGUUGACGGUAGCUGGAUAAGAAGCGCCGGCUAACUACGUG
rnacentral:rRNA from 1 species